UCUACCUUCAGGAGCCCACACACCCCCUAGGCUGGCAUCAGGGCCUGUGGCCUUUUGGUUCCCACUGCCCUCACCCCAGCCCUGCACACUGCAAGUGCCAGACUGUCACGUAUGCCCCCAUCACAUAGGCUCAUCUGAGCCUCCUGCUCUUUCUCCCAGCUCUGCCCCGAUCCUUCUGUUUGGCCUGCCCUUUCACCUCAUGAAGCUUUCCCUGACCUCCAACCAGGCACAGCAAUCUCCUCUUUGCCCCUACAUCUUCCAGGAAGUCUCUCCUGAUUCGACCUCAAAUUACUCCCUGUUUGGUGCUCUAGCUGAGACACCAAGCUGGGAUGGGUGGCUGGUGUUGGGAGAGGGAGAGAUCACAGCCAGGAGAGAUAAAGGGCCAAAGUGAUAGAGGGGUCCAGCGUCCAUGAGGCAAAUUCCGGUCCCAGCUCCUCUGUGGACUGGCCAUGUGGCCCUGAGGCCUGGGGUACCUCUUGACCUCAGUUGGCCUGUGGGACACUUGGGGGCUUGGACAGCAGGGCUCCUGGAAGGUGGAAGCCUGGACGAAGGCCACCGGUUGCACACCUGGCCUUGAGAGAAGGAAGAAGUGGGCUUCUGUGCAACCUGGUUUCACAGUUCAAGUGUUGCCCCAGUGGCCUGUUGGUCAAGCAGGGCUUGCACAUCAGGUCUUUUAUGGCUGUUGGGAAAAGGGCCAUCCAGGGAUAUCAGACCUCUCAGGGCUCUCCUGCUUCCUCCACCCUUCUGACUGGCUUCAGGAUCCCCAAGAAGCCAAACCGGGGAGAAGCAGAUGGCAAUGUUAGUCCUUAGGCUAGGGCGUGAGAGCUGCAUGCUCCUGUGUUCCUCUAGGUCAGAUCUGGCAUAUUCAGAGCCCCUUUCCAACUGCCUCAAGAGGACGUUCCACUUCGGCCAGUGCUGGACACGCCCUCACAUGAAAUCAGCCAGAGCCCAAGCAGCUUGCAUAGGCCCUCUGAUACAACUGCAGAAGUCUGGACUCAGGGGCACUUGCUUUCCCUCUCAGGGCCAUCGCACAAGGUCCAGGCUUCCCAGGUUCCAGGAGUGAGUCCUGCCCUCGGCACAUGCAGACCCAGGAGGCUCCAACUCCUACACAAUGUGAUCAGGGAACCUGGUGCACUGGGACUGCUGAAGGCUCUGAGAGACUUUCCACAGAUGAGCAGAUGCUGGAGCUACCCUCUCCCACUCCACAAUCCCUCCCCCAUUGGCGAACAAAGCCCAGCUUAGCCCCCACUCUGCGUUCCCUCUCUGGCUCCGUGUCUGCAGCCCUGGUUGUCCUGGUGGAAGCACCCACCUCCUCAGGCCUGCUUGCCCCUGAGACAGCCUUCAUCAGAAUGGCCAACUUGUCUGAAAAGUAGAGAACCAAGCAGGCAGUUUGUUCAUCCCCUUGGGGAGCACUGGGGAGGGAGUCCUGGGAUGGGAAUCCCAGGAACCAUAUUCGUCACCAGCCUCUGUCUCUGUGGGUGAGUCACUGUCCCUGUCCCUCCCUGUGCCCAGAAUCUAUAGUCAGCACAGAAAGCCCAGGGCUUUGCAGGCAAAGAGCCCAGGUUCCCUCAUG
rnacentral:lncRNA from 10 species